ACCAGACGCGGUGGUGCGUGCCUGUAGUCCCAGCUACUCGGGAGGCUGAGGCUGGAGGAUCGCUUGAAUCCAGGAAUUCUGGGCUGUAGUGCGCUAUGCCCAUCGGGUGUCUGCAUUAGGUUUGGCAUCAAUAUGGUGACAUCCUGGGAGCAGGGGACCACCAGGUUGCCUAAGGAGGGGUGAACCGGCCCAGGUCAGAAAUGGAGCAGGUCAAAACACCCAUGCUGAUCAGUAGUGGGAUCAUACCUGUGAAUAGCCACUGCGGUCCAGCCUGGGCAAUAUAACGAUAUCUGUCUCUA
rnacentral:SRP_RNA from 1 species